CAUCUUGUCUUGGGAGCACCCUUUGAUUUUACAUCUUGUGACAUUCCAAUCAUACGGAGAUGGUGGACUCCAGAUGGUUUUCUCUGAAAGUGCAGAAACCCUACAAGAGGCCCUUCCAAUUGGAUAACAGGCUACGCUUGUGAGGAGAUCCCAGUAAUCUCACAGACGUUGUGAAAUGGCUCCAUUAAACAGACAUCUG